rnacentral:rRNA from 1 species
GAUGAACGCUGGCGGCGUGCCUAACACAUUCAAGUCGAACGGUGAUGAGGACUUCGGUCCUCUGAUCAGUGGCGGACGGGUGAGUAACGCGUGAGCAACCUGCCUAUCAAAGCGGGAUAACGUAUGGAAACGUGCGCUAAUACCGCAUAACGCAUUUUGAUCGCAUGUUCGAAAUGCCAAAGGGAACCGAUGAUAGAUGGGCUCGCGUAUGAUUAGAUAGUUGGCGAGGUAACGGCUCACCAAAUCGACGAUCAUUAGCCGAACUGAGAGGUUGAACGGCCACAUUGGAACUGAGAAACGGUCCAGACUCCUACGGGAGGCAGCAGUGGGGAAUAUUGCACAAUGGGGGAAACCCUGAUGCAGCGACGCCGCGUGAGCGAAGAAGUAUUUCGGUAUGUAAAGCUCUAUCAGCAAGGAAGAUAAUGACGGUACUUGACUAAGAAGCCCCGGCUAACUACGUGCCAGCAGCCGCGGU